UCUUUAUAAUUAUUAUUAAUAAAAUUAAUUUAGUUUAUUUUAAUUUUUUAUUAUAAUAUAUUAUUUUAUUGGGGUAAUAUAAAGAUUAAAUUAAUUCUUUAUAAAUUUUAACAUUUAUUUAUGUUUAUAUGAUCCAGUUAUAUUGAUUAUAAGAUUAAGU
rnacentral:rRNA from 1 species